rnacentral:rRNA from 1 species
UACGUAGGGGGCAAGCGUUGCUCGGAAUCACUGGGCGUAAAGGGCGCGUAGGCGGGAUGGCAAGUCAGUCGUGAAAUCUCUCGGCUCAACCGAGAAACGUCGGCUGAUACUGCCGUUCUUGAGGGAUGCAGAGGAGACUGGAAUUCCCGGUGUAGCGGUGAAAUGUGUAGAGAUCGGGAGGAACACCAGUGGCGAAGGCGGUGCUCUGGGCCGGAACUGACGCUGAGGAGCGAAAGCGUGGGGAGCAAACAGG